rnacentral:rRNA from 1 species
GAUGAACGCUGGCGGCGUGCCUAAUACAUGCAAGUCGAGCGAACGGACGAGAAGCUUGCUCCUCUGAUGUUAGCGGCGGACGGGAGAGUAACACGUGGAUAACCUACCUAUACGACUGGGAUAACUUCGGGAAACCGGAGCUAAUACCGGAUAAUAUUUUGAACCGCAUGGUUCAAAAGUGAAAGACGGUCUUGCUGUCACUUAUAGCUGGAUCCGCGCUGCAUUAGCUAGUUGGUAAGGUAACGGCUUACCAAGGCAACGAUGCAUAGCCGACCUGAGAGGGUGAUCGGCCAGACGGGAACUGAGACACGGUCCAGACUCCGACGGUAGGCAGCAGUAGGGAAUCUUCCGCAAUGGGCGAAAGCCUGACGUAGCAACGCCGCGUGAGUGAUGAAGGUCUUCGGAUCGUAAAACGCUGUUAGUAGGAGAGAACAUAUGUGUAAGUAACUGUGCACAUCUUGACGGUACCUAAUCAGAAAGCCACGGCUAACUACGUG